CCCUAACUUUACAAUUCUAGCUCCGCCCCUGGUCCAAUGGGUACUCUAAACAAAUGAAACCUAUUUUAACAUGAAAAAAAGAAUCAAUCAUCCAGAGGAUAAAACAAAACACUGAAAAAAUUGCAGUCACAAGCAUUUAUACAAACCGGGCAGUAAGCAGAAAUCCAAGGCAUAAAUGGAUACCUCCUCCAACGUCCUCCAUGUAGUGGCGGUGCCUUAUCCUGGUAGAGGCCACAUCAACCCCAUGACCAACCUCUGCAAAUUACUAGCUUCCAGGAAAAACGACAUUCAAAUCACCGUCGUCGUCACCGAAGAGUGGCUUGGCUUCAUAGGCUCCGAUCCGAAACCCAAUAACAUCAGCUUCCGUACCAUACCCAACGUCCUUCCCUCUGAGCUAGUUCGUGGCGCCAACUAUCCCGCCUUCUACGAAGCCGUGAUGACGAAGAUGGAAGCUCCGUUCGAAAAGCUACUAGAUCAAAUUCAUCCUCCGGUGACCGCCAUUAUAGCCGACAUCGAGCUUCUCUGGGCAGUUCCCGCAGGCCGCUGGAGAAAUAUUCCGGUGGCUUCGCUUUCCACACUGUCGGCGUCGGUUUUUCAUCCCCUCUUCCGAAAUAGGGAGCUGAAUUUAUUAGACCUUUCUCUCUAAAACGUCAUAAGAGUCAUGGCUACCUCCGACGUUGACUCAGUCACCGUCAGCCACGUGGCGGCGAUGCCAUUCCCUGGCCGAGGCCACAUCAACCCUAUGAUGAACCUCUGCAAGUUACUAGCUUCAAAAAACCCCCAACUUCUCAUCACCUUCGUCGUCACCGAAGAGUGGCGCGGGUUUAUCAGCUCCGACCCGAAACCCGACAACAUCCGGUUGGCCUCCAUCCCAAACGUCAUCCCUCCCGAGCGUCUCAAAGCCGCCGACUUUCCGGGCUUCUACGAAGCUGUCAUGACCAAGAUGGAAGCUCCGUUUGAGCUGUUGCUCGAUCGGCUCGAGCCGCCGGUAUCAGCUGUCAUAGCUGAUAUUGAGGUUCGGUGGGGUGUUGGGUUUGGGAUUCGGAUGAAUAUUCCGGUGUCUUUGUUUUGGACUAUGUCAGCCACCUUCUUGUCCAUGCUACACCGUUUUAAUGUUUUCUCACAAAACAAGAACAUCCCAGUUGAGUUUUUUGAUUGUGAAGAUCAAAUACCAGGGAUUUCUUCUACUGAUUUAGCAGACCUUGGAGAAGUGAUCGAAGGAAACGACCCAAAAGUCAUUAAGCUUGCUCUGGAGUGCAUUUCAUGGGUUCCAAAAGCACAGUAUCUUCUGUUUACUUCCGUUUAUGAGCUUGAACCUCAAAUCUUUGACUCUUUACAAGCAGAAUUCCCAUUCCCUGUGUACCCAAUUGGUCCCGCCAUACCUUAUCUAGAGCUUGAACACAAUUGCUCUGUAUCAGCUGCUGACAAUAGCAUUGACUAUCUGAAAUGGCUUGAUUCUCAGCCGAAAGGCUCUGUCUUGUACAUCUCGUUGGGCAGUUUUCUUUCAGUUUCGAGCACCCAAAUGGACGAAAUUGCAGCAGGGCUGAGGAAUAGCGGGAUUCGGUACUUGUGGGUUGCUAGGGGGGAGGCUUCUCGGUUGAAAGAGAGCUGCAAUGGUGAAAUGGGGUUGGUGGUGUCUUGGUGUGAGCAACUGAAAGUGUUGUGCCAUUCUUCUGUUGGUGGUUUUUGGACUCAUUGUGGGUGGAACUCCACUCUGGAAGCUGUUUUCGCUGGUGUUCCAAUGCUUACUUUCCCUCUGUUCCUUGAUCAACUGCCCAACAGCAGGCAAAUUGUUGAAGAAUGGAGGAUUGGCGGGAGGGUUAAGACAGAGGUACAAGAUGAGAAAUUGAUGACAAGAGAAGAAAUUGCUGAGCUCAUGAAGAGAUUUAUGGAUCUUGAAAACAGUGAUGGAAAAGAAAUGCGGAAAAGAGCGAAAGAACGCAGCGAUUUGUGUCAUCAAGCAAUUGCAAAAGGGGGUUCAUCUGAUACAAACCUUGAUAAUUUUAUCAGGGAUAUAGGCAAAGCUGCAACCUUCUAGCGGACUGAUGCUCCUUCCUUUUAGUAAGACACAACUUACUUCUCAAUAUGCAAAUUAGCCCUCAUCCAUGUGAGUCUUAUUAGUCAUUUUAUGGAGAAUCCUACAGAGCUUCAUCUUGCAGCAGCAAAAAGAAUUUUUUGCUACUUAAAAGGUACGGUUGAUUUUGGUGUUGUCUAUAAGAAGGAAGCAAAGUCAGGUUUGUUUUUUAUUUUACAGACAAUGACUAUGCGGGAGAUCAAGAUGAUCGAAGGAGCACUUCAGGAUAUGUGUUUAUGAUGGGUUCAGGCAGUUGCCUGGUCAUCUAAGAAGCAGCCGAUUGUGACUUUAUCAACAACCGAAGCUGAAUUUGUUGCAGCAGCAUCCUGUGCAUGCCAAGCCAUUUGGCUGAGAAGGUUAAUUGAAGCACUUCACUACAUGCAACAAGGUCCAACAUCAAUCUAUUGUGAUAAUGUCUGUUAUUAAGCUUUCGAAAAAUUCAGUUUUAAUGUGAGAUAUCAUUUUCUUCGUGAUCUCUGCAAGGAUGAUGUUAUCGAUCUGAUUUAUUGUAAAACUGAGGACCAAAUUGCUAAUAUUUUUUACCAAGCCUCUCAAGCUGCAUGUGUUCGUAAAAUUGAGAAAUUUGUUGGGAAUUAGUUCUUUGAAGGAUGUUGCUUGUUGAUAGUUGAAGAAUUGAAGUUUUAUCUUUAAACUGAUUAUCUGCAGAACAUUCAGUUUAAGGGAGGGUGUUAAGAAUAUUUAUUAUUCUAUUUAUUAUGUUUAUGGGUAUCUUGUUAAGUUGUGGAAGUCCUAUUCUUUAAGGACUUGGUUGUUAAUAGGAGAGUCCAAGUUGUCAUCGAGUCAUGGUUAGUGGCUGAAUAUCAUGGUUUAGUCGUGCAGUAGUUGUUCCUACUAUUUAG